AACGAACGCUGGCGGCAUGCCUAACACAUGCAAGUCGAACGAGACCUUCGGGUCUAGUGGCGCACGGGUGCGUAACGCGUGGGAACCUGCCCUUAGGUUCGGAAUAACUCCCCGAAAGGGGUGCUAAUACCGGAUAAUGUCUUCGGACCAAAGAUUUAUCGCCUUUGGAUGGGCCCGCGUUGGAUUAGCUAGUUGGUAGGGUAAAAGCCUACCAAGGCGACGAUCCAUAGCUGGUCUGAGAGGAUGAGCAGCCACACUGGGACUGAGACACGGCCCAGACUCCUACGGGAGGCAGCAGUGGGGAAUAUUGGACAAUGGGCGAAAGCCUGAUCCAGCAAUGCCGCGUGAGUGAUGAAGGCCUUAGGGUUGUAAAGCUCGUUUACCCGGGAUGAUAAUGACAGUACCGGGAGAAUAAGCUCCGGCUAACUCCGUG
rnacentral:rRNA from 1 species